UGGGCAGAAAAGAUUACACAGCUGGGGGAACUAGCUGCCUAAGACUGUAUCAGCGGUGUGUUCGCAGUGACGAUGAAAGAGAAAGUUGAAGACAGGAUGAUGGGUGUGGCUGCCCUGAGGCUCUGCGAGGCACUGGCCAUGGAUGCGGGCUGGGUGCAUUCGCAGGAGGUUGGAUCAAAAGUGGUUCAGCUGGUCUCCAAAUGGCGUCCAUGUGGGAUACCAACUCUACAGACGGGCAACCUGACCCGCUAUGCCACAGUACUAGCUCCUAACUUUGGUUUUUUUUUUUUUUUUGAUUACCUUUCUUCCUUUGAAGCCAAGAAAGCAAAGUGCCAACUUAAAAUUCUGAUUCGGAUGUAAACAUAAAUCACCUAGACUUUUAUUAGAAUUUGUGAAUUU